rnacentral:rRNA from 1 species
AAAUUGAAGAGUUUGAUCAUGGCUCAGAUUGAACGCUGGCGGCAGGCCUAACACAUGCAAGUCGAGCGGUAGCACAGGAGAGCUUGCUCUCUGGGUGACGAGCGGCGGACGGGUGAGUAAUGUCUGGGAAACUGCCUGAUGGAGGGGGAUAACUACUGGAAACGGUAGCUAAUACCGCAUAACGUCGCAAGACCAAAGAGGGGGACCUUCGGGCCUCUUGCCAUCAGAUGUGCCCAGAUGGGAUUAGCUAGUAGGUGGGGUAACGGCUCACCUAGGCGACGAUCCCUAGCUGGUCUGAGAGGAUGACCAGCCACACUGGAACUGAGACACGGUCCAGACUCCUACGGGAGGCAGCAGUGGGGAAUAUUGCACAAUGGGCGCAAGCCUGAUGCAGCCAUGCCGCGUGUAUGAAGAAGGCCUUCGGGUUGUAAAGUACUUUCAGCGGGGAGGAAGGCGAUAAGGUUAAUAACCUUGUCGAUUGACGUUACCCGCAGAAGAAGCACCGGCUAACUCCGUGCCAGCAGCCGCGGUAAUACGGAGGGUGCAAGCGUUAAUCGGAAUUACUGGGCGUAAAGCGCACGCAGGCGGUCUGUCAAGUCGGAUGUGAAAUCCCCGGGCUCAACCUGGGAACUGCAUUCGAAACUGGCAGGCUAGAGUCUUGUAGAGGGGGUAGAAUUCCAGGUGUAGCGGUGAAAUGCGUAGAGAUCUGGAGGAAUACCGGUGGCGAAGGCGGCCCCCUGGACAAAGACUGACGCUCAGGUGCGAAAGCGUGGGGAGCAAACAGGAUUAGAUACCCUGGUAGUCCACGCCGUAAACGAUGUCGACUUGGAGGUUGUGCCCUUGAGGCGUGGCUUCCGGAGCUAACGCGUUAAGUCGACCGCCUGGGGAGUACGGCCGCAAGGUUAAAACUCAAAUGAAUUGACGGGGGCCCGCACAAGCGGUGGAGCAUGUGGUUUAAUUCGAUGCAACGCGAAGAACCUUACCUACUCUUGACAUCCAGAGAACUUUCCAGAGAUGGAUUGGUGCCUUCGGGAACUCUGAGACAGGUGCUGCAUGGCUGUCGUCAGCUCGUGUUGUGAAAUGUUGGGUUAAGUCCCGCAACGAGCGCAACCCUUAUCCUUUGUUGCCAGCGGUUCGGCCGGGAACUCAAAGGAGACUGCCAGUGAUAAACUGGAGGAAGGUGGGGAUGACGUCAAGUCAUCAUGGCCCUUACGAGUAGGGCUACACACGUGCUACAAUGGCGCAUACAAAGAGAAGCGACCUCGCGAGAGCAAGCGGACCUCAUAAAGUGCGUCGUAGUCCGGAUUGGAGUCUGCAACUCGACUCCAUGAAGUCGGAAUCGCUAGUAAUCGUAGAUCAGAAUGCUACGGUGAAUACGUUCCCGGGCCUUGUACACACCGCCCGUCACACCAUGGGAGUGGGUUGCAAAAGAAGUAGGUAGCUUAACCUUCGGGAGGGCGCUUACCACUUUGUGAUUCAUGACUGGGGUGAAGUCGUAACAAGGUAACCGUAGGGGAACCUGCGGUUGGAUCACCUCCUUA